CAUUUGAGUCAGUGGACUGGGAGAGGCAGACCCACCCUCACUCUGGGUGGGCACCAUCCCCUCAGCUGCCAGUGCUGCUGAACAAUGCAGGCAAAAGAAGGUGGAGGAGCAGACUUGCUGAGUGUUCCAACCCUCAUCUUUCUCCUGUGCUGGAUGCUUCCUGCCCUCCAAUACUGGACUCCAGGUCCUUCAGGUUUUCGACUCAGACUUACACGAGUGGUUUGCCAGGGGCUCUCAGGCCUUUGGCCAUAGACUGAAGGCUGCACUGUUGGCUUCCCUACUUUUGAGGUUUUGGGAAUCAGACUGGCUUCCUCUCUCCUCAGCUUGCAGAUGACCUAUUGUGGGACUUCACCUUGUGAUUGUGAUAUCACACUGGUCCGUUACAUUGAUGACAUUAUGCUGACUGGACCCAGUGAGCAAGAAGUAGCAAACACACUGGACUUAUGUACUGAUCCAUGGACUAUAGCCAAUGGUUUGGCUGGAUGGUCAGGGACUUGGAAGAAGCAUGAUUGAAAAAUUGGUGACAAAGAAAUUUAGGGAAAAGGUAUUUGGAUGGAUCUCUCUGAGUGAUCAAAAACUGGGAAGAUAUUUGGAUCCCAUGUGAGUGCUCAUCAAUGGGUGACCUCAGCAGAGGAGGAUUUUAAUAAUGAAAUGGAUAGGAUGACUAAUACAAAUGUCAUGUAAAAUUAAAAUUAGCAUUAAGUGCAAAGAGGGCAGCAAAACACAUCCAGACUGUUCCUCUUCCAUCAGCUGACACAAACUUCAGAAAUACCAGCUGUGGCUGGGUGUGGUGGCUCACAUCUGUAAUCCCAACCUUUUGGGAGGCUGAGGCAGGCAGAUCACUUAAGGUCAGGAGUUUGAGACCAGCCUGGCCAACAUGAUGAAAUGCUGUCUCUACUAAAAAUACAAAAAUUAGCCAGGUGUGGUGGCGGGCACCUGUAAUCCUAGCUACUCAGAAGGCUGAUGCAGGAGAAUCAUUUGCACCCAAAGGGCAGAGGUUGCACUGAGCCAAGAUCAUGCCACUGCACUAUAGCCUGAGUGACAGAGCAAGACUCCAUCUCAAAAAAAAAAAAAGAAAUACCAGCUGUGAAUAAACAUGUAUUUACAUAUUGGUUUUUUUGUUUGUUUAUAAUACUUAAAAUAUAUAAACACCUUUCCCUUCUGAGAAGAAAAGAUGAAAGCC
rnacentral:lncRNA from 1 species